rnacentral:tRNA from 1 species
GGCUCAGUUGGUAGAGCAUGGCACUUGCAAUGCCAGGGUUGUGGGUUCGAUUCUCAC